rnacentral:rRNA from 1 species
UACGUAGGGUGCAAGCGUUGUCCGGAAUUAUUGGGCGUAAAGCGCGCGUAGGUGGUUUGUUAAGUUGGAUGUGAAAGCCCCGGGCUCAACCUGGGAACUGCAUCCAAAACUGGCAAGCUAGAGUACGGUAGAGGGUGGUGGAAUUUCCUGUGUAGCGGUGAAAUGCGUAGAUAUAGGAAGGAACACCAGUGGCGAAGGCGACCACCUGGACUGAUACUGACACUGAGGUGCGAAAGCGUGGGGAGCAAACAGG